rnacentral:rRNA from 1 species
UGGGGAAUAUUGCGCAAUGGGCGAAAGCCUGACGCAGCAACGCCGCGUGAGUGAUGAAGGCCUUCGGGUCGUAAAGCUCUGUCGGAGGGAACGAAUGCUCUUGAGGUUAACAGCCUCGGGAGGUGACGGUACCCUCAAAGGAAGCACCGGCUAACUCUGUGCCAGCAGCCGCGGUAAUACAGAGGGUGCAAGCGUUGUUCGGAAUCACUGGGCGUAAAGGGUGCGUAGGCGGCUGUGUAAGUCUGGCGUGAAAGCCCAGGGCUCAGCCCUGGAAGGGCGCUAGAAACUGCGCGGCUAGAGUGCCGGAGGGGAGAGUGGAAUUCCUGGUGUAGCGGUGAAAUGCGUAGAUAUCAGGAGGAAUACCGGUGGCGAAAGCGACUCUCUGGACGGCAACUGACGCUGAGGCACGAAAGCGUGGGGAGCAAACAGGAUUAGAUACCCCAGUAGUCCCUGAGCGGGCUGGCAAGGCGCAU